UGGGGAAUAUUGCGCAAUGGGGGGAACCCUGACGCAGCCAUGCCGCGUGAAUGAAGAAGGCCUUCGGGUUGUAAAGUUCUUUCGGUAUUGAGGAAGGUUGAUGUGUUAAUAGUACAUCAAAUUGACGUUAAAUACAGAAGAAGCACCGGCUAACUCCGUGCCAGCAGCCGCGGUAAUACGGAGGGUGCGAGCGUUAAUCGGAAUAACUGGGCGUAAAGGGCACGCAGGCGGUUAUUUAAGUGAGGUGUGAAAGCCCCGGGCUUAACCUGGGAAUAGCAUUUCAGACUGGGUAACUAGAGUACUUUAGGGAGGGGUAGAAUUCCACGUGUAGCGGUGAAAUGCGUAGAGAUGUGGAGGAAUACCGAAGGCGAAGGCAGCCCCUUGGGAAUGUACUGACACUCAUGUGCGAAAGCGUGGGGAGCAAACAGGAUUAGAUACCCUGGUAGUCCACGCUGUAAACGCUGUCGAUUUGGGGGUUGGGGUUUAACUCUGGCGCCCGUAGCUAACGUGAUAAAUCGACCGCCUGGGGAGUACGGCCGCAAGGUUA
rnacentral:rRNA from 1 species